CUUGACGUUUGCCCAGCUGUGUGCAGUUUAAACACAUGGCACAUUUAGCAUCAGCAGUGGAAGAGGAGUGUCUUAAACAAGCUGAAAAGUGUGUUUUAUUCAGUUGUCUUUCCCACAACUUCAGAUCUUAAGAUUGGGCUAAUUGGUGACUCUAAACUGACCCAGUAUGGACCUACAUGGGGUUUUAGUGUUCCCUGUCUUAAUUGAACAAAAUGGCUUCAGAAAAAAAAAUCUGCUGUAAAGUACACAAGCCUAAGUUUCCCAUGCUGAAGAGUGUGAUGCUUUGGAAAAUGGAACGGUCCUUAUCGUUCUCCUUCCUGAAAAAGUUGCCAACCACCUCAGAGAACCUAAAAGGUACUGCUCCCCACAUGGUUGACGUAUGUCUUCUCUAAGAAAGAUCCAACCCACCAUAGCAUUUUUAUUCCUCUGCCCUCUUGCAGGUGGUUUAGAGCUCUACAUGCCCGCACUACCAGACUGAAGAAGAGCUUUCAUCUCAAAGUCUAUUAAAUGCACAGUGAUCACUGCCCCUUCCUAGAACAGAAACCACCACUGACUGAACUGAACUUCUGCAUCCACCACACACAGUC